GACAGAGGGUGCAAACGUUGCUCGGAAUCACUGGGGCGUAAAGGGCGUGUAGGCGGGAAGGAAAGUCGGGCGUGAAAUCCCUGGGCUCAACCCAGGAACUGCACUCGAAACUUCUUUUCUUGAGUGCCGGGAGAGGAAAGGCGGAAUACCUGGUGUAGAGGGUGAAAAUUCGUAGAUAUCAGGUGGAACACCAGUGGCGAAGGCGGCUUUCUGGACGGUAACUGACGA
rnacentral:rRNA from 1 species